GGCUAUUUGAGUGUGAAAAACUACACAGUUAGCCAUGUUAGCUAACGUUAACUACGAAGUUAGCCAGCUAGCGUUACCUAGAAAAAUAACAUCGAGUAUUGUCUCCAACGUGAAUUAAAGACUCCCUGAGUGUUGUUCCCCAGCCCAGAGUUGAGGACGCUGUCCCAUCCACUGAUGUCACCUGGGACAUUGGCUGCACUGGUCUGGGAAUCCAAGAUGGCCACCCAGUCUCCUUUGUUAGCCUCCAGCCAACCACCUGCAGGAAGAGGUUACAAAAUAGAGUUACAAAAAUAAGGAAACCCACAUAUGGAGUUCUAUGGACAAAACAACAGCCAGUCCACUCAGCAGAUCAAUGCUCUCUGGUCCGUCUUCUAUCAUCUCCUGUUUGACCAGCAGCAGAUCAGGCUUCCCAUCCUCCAUGUCUACUGACUGCAAUAGUAAAGGGCUCCCGAGUGGCGCAGCGGUCUAAGGCAUUGCAUCUCAGUGCUAGAGGCAUCACUACAGACCCUGGUCCGAUCCCGGGCUGUAUCACAACCGGCCGUGAUCGGGAUUCCCAUAGGAACGGCGCACAAUUGGUCCAUUGUCAUCCGGGUUGGGAGGGUUUGGCCGUCAUUGUAAAUAAGAAUUUGUUCUUAACUGACUUGUAUAACAUUUCAAAAAUAAAACCCUCAACCAUGAAAGACUAGCAUGCAUGUUGUUGACGUUUGUUCUGUACGUGCAGUUAAGGGCGAGGUGUGCUGCUCUGUUUUGAGCCAGCUGCAGGUUUGCUACGUCUUUCUUUGCUGCACUUGACCAUAUUACCAGACAGUAAUCAGAACCGUAACAGUUGAUUUUACAGUACAGUUGAUUUGUGUCAAAAACACAACAGACAUUCCCCUCCCCAUCUUCACAACAACUCUGUCAUUAUGACUUGACCAUAAGAAUGUCCGAAAGUAAUUUAGCCAUUCAUUGUAGUCAUAGCGAUCUGUAGAGUUGCUAUUUCUGCAAGUUUUUGUGUGUCAAUUAACUUGUAACAUUCCUGGAUUACUCAUUAUACCAAUAUAGUCAGAUUUAAUCAAGAAAUGCAAUAGUCAGUUGAAAAAAUGUUGAGUGCAGGACUGUUAAUAUCUGUCUGUGUUGGCAAAAUCACUACAUAUCCCAUCGAGCCGAGCGGGGGGAGGCUGCCCGUUGUCACAGUUCCAAGACCAGUCAGAAACGUCCAGCUGAUGAUGAUGAUGCCGGUUGAUCUCAAAACUGAACUUGCAUCCACGUUAAGUAGCAAUGAUAUCCUUUACCAUCAUGCUGUUUUGUCACUCAACGGAUCAUUAGAAAAUGGUGAAUCGUUGAAAGUUAUUGCUAUUGCAAAGCUCUUAAUAUUAAAGAUGUAGUUUAAGUAUAACUGACUUGUGGGAUAAGUUUGUCUCCUAAUUUGAUAAUACAGAAAUAAACCACCACAGUACUCAAAACAAUACAUAAUUUAUGUUUUAACCCCAGCUAAUUUCUUAGUCACAUGAUUGUAUCACUAGCAAAGGAGUUUUGAAGUUGAGGGUGUAGUAUUUAUGAAGUUUGGCAUAGUUCAGCUAGCCAGCUAAUCUAGCCCACUGAGGUAUAAGAACAGUUUAGCCAGGGAUAACGAGCUCGGGUCUAGUGCGCAUGUGCACCAUCUGGGCCCACAUGCACACGAGGCUAAUUAAGGAGACAGAUUGUAGUUUGUAUGCCCUUUUAUUUUUUAUUUUACCUUUAUUUUACUAGGCAAGUCAGUUAAGAACAAAUUCUUAUUUUCAAUGACGGCCUAGGAACAGUGGGUUAACUGCCUGUUCAGGAGCAGAACGACAGAUUUUGUACCUUGUCAGCUCGGGGAUUUGAACUUGCAACCUUUCGGUUACUUGUCCAAUGCUCUAACCACUAGGCUACCCUGCUGAUUAGUCAUUGAAAUGAUUGGCAAUAUCGAAAGGUUUUGUUACAAAUGACCCAUGAGAAUGAACAAUGGAGAAGAAUUUGGGAUUUCUGCCAGGUACUCAAGUUUUUUUUCUGCAGAAAGGUGGCAAAAAAAAGUCAGGCUAAGAUGAUUGGUUGACAUACUGUAAAUGUAGAUAUAUAUAUAUUUUUUUACAAAACUUAACAAAAAAUGAAAUUGUUAUUAAACCUAGAUAAAUUACAUGAAACGCAAUGC